CCUACGGGUGGCAGCAGUGAGGAAUAUUGGUCAAUGGGCGCGAGCCUGAACCAGCCAAGUAGCGUGAAGGAUGACUGCCCUACGGGUUGUAAACUUCUUUUAUAAAGGAAUAAAGUGAGGCACGUGCGCCUUUUUGUAUGUACUUUAUGAAUAAAGCUCGGCUAACUCCGUGCCAGCAGCCGCGGUAAUACGGAGGAGCCGAGCGUUAUCCGGAUUUAGUGGGUUUAAAGGGAGCGUAGAUGGGUUGUUAAGUCAGUUGUGAAAGUUUGCGGCUUAACCGUAAAAUUGCAAUUGAUACUGGUAGCCUUGAGUACAGUUGAGGUAGGCGGAAUUCGUGGUGUAGCGGUGAAAUGCUUAGAUAUCACGAAGAACUCCGAUUGCGAAGGCAGCCUACUAAACUGCAACUGACAUUGAUGCUCGAAAGUGUGGGUAUCAAACAGGAUUAGAUACCCCUGUAGUC
rnacentral:rRNA from 1 species